UACGGGGGGGGCAAGCGUUGUUCGGAAUUACUGGGCGUAAAGGGCUCGUAGGCGGCCAACUAAGUCGGACGUGAAAUCCCUCGGCUUAACCGGGGAACGGCGUCCGAUACUGGAUGGCUUGAGUUUGGGAGAGGGAUGCGGAAUUCCAGGUGUAGCGGUGAAAUGCGUAGAUAUCUGGAGGAACACCGGUGGCGAAGGCGGCAUCCUGGACCAAAACUGACGCUUAAUAGCGAAAGCCAGGGGAGCAAACGGG
rnacentral:rRNA from 1 species